UGGUCGCCUAAACCGUUUAGUGAAACUUCUUCCACCUUUCUCCAUUCCUCUAGGUGCUUUUUCUGAACCUGGAUGUGACGCAUUAAAGGAUCCGACCGAAAUAGAAUUGAAGGCAUUCUAAAAUGGCUAACCGUACAGUGAAGGAUGCGCACAGCAUCCACGGCACCAACCCUCAAUAUCUGGUGGAGAAGAUCAUUCGAACGCGAAUCUAUGAGUCCAAGUACUGGAAAGAGGAGUGCUUUGGACUUACAGCUGAACUUGUAGUCGAUAAAGCCAUGGAGUUAAGAAACGCUAUGUAUUAGAGGAAGCUGAGCAACUGGAGCCUCGAGUUAGUGCUCUGGAAGAGGACAUGGAUGAUGUGGAGUCCAGUGAAGAGGAAGAAGAGGAGGAUGAGAAGUUGGAAAGAGUGCCAUCACCUGAUCACCGCCGGAGAAGCUACCGAGACUUGGACAAGCCCCGUCGCUCUCCCACACUGCGCUACAGGAGGAGUAGGAGCCGGUCUCCCAGAAGGCGGAGUCGAUCUCCCAAAAGGAGAAGCCCCUCCCCUCGUCGAGAAAGGCAUCGGAGCAAGAGUCCAAGACGUCACCGCAGCAGGUCCCGAGAUCGGCGGCACAGAUCCCGUUCCAAGUCCCCAGGUCAUCACCGUAGUCACAGACACAGGAGCCACUCAAAGUCUCCCGAAAGGUCUAAGAAGAGCCACAAGAAGAGCCGGAGAGGGAAUGAGUAAUGGACUCAGUUUGGUUUUAGUCCACAUGGCCUCCUGUGGAUAUGAGGAUAUCUGUAUGUGGAAGGAUUAAGAUCUCCCCCAGGCAGCUAUAAGAAUAUUUUAGUUUUUUUCUUAUCAAGUUUCUCAACCUUUAUUUUUAAUGAAGGAGGUGCUGAGUUUUGUAUCUUUUUAAUCAUAAUCAACAUCAGUUUUUGACCCAACUAACCUUGACUGUAUUCAAACUUAUGAGAGUAUAAAGGAUCUGGAGGUUGGGGAUAUGACUGACAAGGAAAGGCUGUGGCCACCUGAUGACCCUUUCCCUUUUUAUUAAACCGGACACACCUGUUUCCCAU
rnacentral:sRNA from 1 species